rnacentral:rRNA from 1 species
CUAACGAUUGAUCUAGUUACUUAGAAAGAUGAAAAUUAUGAAAAAAAAAAUAUUUAAUAAAAUAAAUAUUUAAUUAAGAAAUAUAAUAAUGAAGAAUAUAAAGUCUAAAAAUAAAAAAUAACAAAAAUAAUGAUAAUGAAAUAAAGAAGUCUUGACAAAAAUUAGUGCCAGCAGUAGCGGUUAAACUAAGGAGGCAAACGUUAAUCAAUAGGCUUAAAGGAUCCGUAGAACGAAAGAAAAAAAAAUAGAGUUAAUAAAAAUGAAUAAUGUAUAAUUAUAAUGAGAGAUGAAAUUUACUGAGAAUAAAUAGACAACCAAAAAUGAAAAGAUAAUUCAAAAUAUUAACUGACGUUGAGGGAUGAAGGCGUGAGAAGCAAACUGGAUUAGAGACCCAAGUAGUUCAUGCUGUAAACGAUGAAUACUAAAAUAAAAAGAAGUGAAAACUAAAGUAUUCCGCCAGGUGAG